GCCAGGUGUAGUGGUGUGCGCCUGUAAUCCUAGCUACUCGGGAGGCUGAGGCAGGAGAAUCACUUGAACCCAGGAGGUGGAGGUUGCAGUGAGCCAAAAUCGUGCUACUGUACUCCAGCCUGGGCAACAGAGUGAGACUCUGUCUCAA
ensembl:misc_RNA Metazoa_SRP Metazoan signal recognition particle RNA